rnacentral:rRNA from 1 species
GAGUCAACGUAUGAAUAAUACGUGGCGAACGGCUCAGUAACACGUAGUCAACAUGCCCAAAGGACGUGGAUAACCUCGGGAAACUGAGGAUAAACCGCGAUAGGUCAUAAGUACUGGAAUGUUUUAUGGCUCAAAUCUACAUGGCCUCUGGAUUGGACUGCGGCCGAUCAGGCUGUUGGUGAGGUAAUGGCCCACCAAACCUGUUACCGGUACGGGCUCUGAGAGGAGGAGCCCGGAGAUGGGCACUGAGACAAGGGCCCAGGCCCUAUGGGGCGCAGCAGGCGCGAAACCUCUGCAAUAGGCGAAAGCUUGACAGGGUUACUCUGAGUGAUUCCCGCUAAGGGAAUCUUUUGGCAUCUCUAAAAACGAUGCAGAAUAAGGGGUGGGCAAGUCUGGUGUCAGCCGCCGCGGUAAUACCAGCACCCCGAGUGGUCGGGACGAUUAUUGGGCCUAAAGCAUCCGUAGCCGGUCUUGCAAGUCUUCCGUUAAAUCCACCUGCUUAACAGAUGGGCUGCGGAAGAUACUACAAGACUAGGAGGCGGGAGAGGCAAGCGGUACUCAGUGGGUAGGGGUAAAAUCCUCUGAUCCAUUGAAGACCACCAGUGGCGAAGGCGGCUUGCCAGAACGCGCUCGACGGUGAGGGAUGAAAGCUGGGGGAGCAAACCGGAUUAGAUACCCGGGUAGUCCCAGCUGUAAACGAUGCAGACUCGGUGAUGGGCCGGCUUCAUGCCGGCUCAGUGCCGCAGGGAAGCCGUUAAGUCUGCCGCCUGGGGAGUACGGUCGCAAGACUGAA